GAUGAACGCUGGCGGCGUGCCUAAUACAUGCAAGUCGAGCGAACAGACGAGGAGCUUGCUCCUCUGACGUUAGCGGCGGACGGGUGAGUAACACGUGGAUAACCUACCUAUAAGACUGGGAUAACUUCGGGAAACCGGAGCUAAUACCGGAUAAUAUAUUGAACAGCAUGGUUCAAUAGUGAAAGAUGGUUUUGCUGUCACUUAUAGAUGGAUCCGCGCCGCAUUAGCUAGUUGGUAAGGUAACGGCUUACCAAGGCAACGAUGCGUAGCCGACCUGAGAGGGUGAUCGGCCACGCUGGAACUGAGACACGGUCCCGACUCCUACGGGAGGCAGCAGUAGGGAAUCUUACGCAAUGGGCGCAAGCCUGACGGAGCAACGCCGCGUGAGUGAUGAGGGUCUUCGGAUCGUAAAACUCUGUUAUGAGGGAACAGCAAAUGUGUAAGUAUCUAUGCACGUCUUGACGGUACCUAAUCAGAAAGCCACGGCUAACUACGUG
rnacentral:rRNA from 1 species